GACGAACGCUGGCGGCGUGCCUAAUACAUGCAAGUCGAACGCAGUGGGGACGGGUGAGUAACACGUUGGUAACCUCCCAUCAGAGGGGAUAACACUUGGAAACAGUUGCUAAACCGAUACUGAUUGAUGGAUCCGCGGUGCGUUAGCUAGUUGGUGAGGUAACGGCUCACCAAGGCCACGAGGCAUAGACGACCUGGUAGGGUGAUAGGCCACACUGGGACUUAGACACGGCCAAGACGCCUACGAGAGGCAGCAGUAGGGAAUGGGCGGCAAUGGAAGAAAGUCUGACCGAGCAACGCCGAGUGAGUGAAGAAGGUUUUCGGAGCGUAAAACUCUGUUGUUAGAGAAGCGGUAUCUAACCAGAAAGCCACGGCUAACUACGUGCCAGCAGCCGCGGUAAUAC
rnacentral:rRNA from 1 species